rnacentral:rRNA from 1 species
AUUGAACGCUGGCGGCAGGCCUAACACAUGCAAGUCGAACGGUAACAGGAAGCAGCUUGCUGCUUUGCUGACGAGUGGCGGACGGGUGAGUAAUGUCUGGGAAACUUCCCGAUGGAGGGGGAUAACUACUGGAAACGGUAGCUAAUACCGCAUAACGUCGCAAGACCAAAGAGGGGGACCUUAGGGCCUCUUGCCAUCGGAUGUGCCCAGAUGGGAUUAGCUAGUAGGUGGGGUAACGGCUCACCUAGGCGACGAUCCCUAGCUGGUCUGAGAGGAUGACCAGCCAAACUGGAACUGAGACACGGUCCAGACUCCUACGGGAGGCAGCAGUGGGGAAUAUUGCACAAUGGGCGCAAGCCUGAUGCAGCCAUGCCGCGUGUAUGAAGAAGGCCUUCGGGUUGUAAAGUACUUUCAGCGGGGAGGAAGGGAGUAAAGUUAAUACCUUUGCUCAUUGACGUUACCCGCAGAAGAAGCACCGGCUAACUCCGUG